rnacentral:rRNA from 1 species
UACGUAGGGGGCAAGCGUUAUCCGGAUUUACUGGGUGUAAAGGGAGCGUAGACGGCAGUGCAAGUCUGGAGUGAAAGGCGGGGGCUCAACCCCCGGACUGCUCUGGAAACUGUACGGCUGGAGUGCAGGAGAGGUAAGUGGAAUUCCUAGUGUAGCGGUGAAAUGCGUAGGUAUUAGGAGGAACACCAGUGGCGAAGGCGGCUUACUGGACUGUAACUGACGUUGAGGCUCGAAAGCGUGGGGAGCAAACAGG